UGAGAAACCUGUCCCGGUCUCUGGAAUAACAGUCGGAAACGACUGCUAAUACCGGAUGCCGUCGGAGCGUCGCAUGGCGCGCUGACGAAAGGGCUACCGGAUCGGGAGGGUCUCGCGGCCUAUCAGCUUGUUGGUGAGGUAACGGCUCACCAAGGCAUCGACGGGUAGCUGGUCUGAGAGGAUGGCCAGCCACAUUGGGACUGAGAUACGGCCCAGACUCCUAGGGAGG
rnacentral:rRNA from 1 species